UAACAAGCAUAUGCUAGUACUUCAAAAGUCUGAAUAUCUGAAACUCUGUGCAGUGUUUUUGUUAUCAUUCAGGUUUAGAUUUUUUUCUUCCCCCUAACAAAAGAAAGCUUGAGGUAAAAAAAAAAAAAAAAAGCCUGACUCUUCAGCUCAUGUGUGGUGGUAUGGAAUUCAUUCUGUGAGAUGGAAGCAUACUGUCAGGAUCCUCUCUUGCUUUUCUGAAAGUUUUUCUUUUUUUUUUGCCUUUUUGCCCAAUAAAUUAUCCUCU
rnacentral:lncRNA from 10 species